UAGGGAAUCUUCCACAAUGGACGCAAGUCUGAUGGAGCAACGCCGCGUGAGUGAAGAAGGUUUUCGGACCGUAAAGCUCUGUUGUUGGUGAAGAAGGAUAGAGGUAGUAACUGGCCUUUAUUUGACGGUAAUCAACCAGAAAGUCACGGCUAACUACGUGCCAGCAGCCGCGGUAAUACGUAGGUGGCAAGCGUUGUCCGGAUUUAUUGGGCGUAAAGCGAGCGCAGGCGGAAGAAUAAGUCUGAUGUGAAAGCCCUCGGCUUAACCGAGGAAUUGCAUCGGAAACUGCUUUUCUUGAGUGCAGAAGAGGAGAGUAGAACUCCAUGUGUAGCGGUGGAAUGCGUAGAUAUAUGGAAGAAUACCAGUGGCGAAGGCGGCUCUCUGGUCUGCAACUGACGCUGAGGCUCGAAAGCAUGGGUAGCGAACAGGAUUAGAUACCCUGGUAGUCCAUGCCGUAAACGAUGAGUGCUAAGUGUUGGGAGGCUUCCGCCUCUCAGUGCUGCAGCUAACGCAUUAAGCACUCCGCCUGGGGGAGUACGACCGCAAGGUUGAAAC
rnacentral:rRNA from 1 species